GGGGCUGUUUGGAUUUGACAGCGGGAUGGAAUGGUACGUAAGCACGCGGAGACUCGUCGGCUAUCUCCAUAAUCGUAGCGGGCAAAAAUUUAAUUGGCAACAAUAGGUAUGCUCUCGCUGCCUAAUCGAAGUAUAGUAGAUUACUGGCUUUAUCGCGUCACAAGGUGAUGCGACGAGACACUGCUCCAAGGGUGUUGUCCCGAAUCUGAGGAUUAAGCGGUGCAGGAAAAUCGGGAAUAGGGUGCGUACGCCUCUGUGCGUAUCUGAAAACUAUUGAGGCUAAGGUUUCAGUUGGUGGUCCAGGUCUUGCUGAAACAUGAAAACCGAAGGCUGGAAUAAGCGUGUAGAAAGCGUAUGGUUUCCCUGUUUGGACGCGGGUUCGACUCCCGCCAGCUCCACU
rnacentral:tmRNA from 1 species